rnacentral:rRNA from 1 species
GACGAACGCUGGCGGCGUGCUUAACACAUGCAAGUCGAACGGAAAGGCCUGCUUUCCCUUGUGGAUUGCGGGUGCUCGAGUGGCGAACGGGUGAGUAACACGUGAGUGAUCUGCCCCCAACUUGGGUAUAAGCCCGGGAAACUGGGUCUAAUUCCCGAUAGGACUGCAGGGUGGUGCCUGUGGUGGAAAACGAUUUUCUAGUGGUUGGGGAUGAGCUCGCGGCCUAUCAGCUUGUUGGUGGGGUAAUGGCCUACCAAGGCGGCGACGGGUAGCCGGCCUGAGAGGGUGGACGGCCACAUUGGGACUGAGAGACGGCCCAGACUCCUACGGGAGGCAGCAGUGGGGAAUAGUGCACAAUGGGCGGAAGCCUGAUGCAGCGACGCCGCGUGGGGGAUGACGGCCUUCGGGUGGUAAACUCCUUUCGACCGCGAGGAAGCCACCUGGUUGGAAGGGUGGUGACGGUAGUGGUAGAAGAAGCACCGGCUAACUACGUG